rnacentral:rRNA from 1 species
GACGAACGCUGGCGGCGUGCUUAAUACAUGCAAGUCGAGCGGUAAAGCCCUGUUCUUGUGCCGUGUGCGAGUGGCGAACGGGUGAGUGUCACGUGAGUAACAUCUCCCUGAGUGCGGGAUACCUCCUUUAGACUCGGAUGCAUAUCGCACAUGAGAACUUUAAACACAGUUUUGAAGGUUGAAUGAUGCCAUUUCGGCGGUUAAGGAUGGACUCGCGGCGUAUUAGCUGGUUGGUGGGGUACUGGCUUACCAAGGCGUUGAUGGGUAGCCGGCCUGAGAGGGUGACCGGCCACAUUGGGACUGAGAUACGGCCCAGACUCCUACGGGAGGCAGCAGUGGGGAAUAUUGCACAAUGGGCGGAAGCCUGAUGCAGCAACGCCGCGUGCGGGAUGACGGCCUUCGGGUUGUAAACCGCUUUCGCCUGUGACGAAGCGUGAGUGACGGUAAUGGGUAAAGAAGCACCGGCUAACUACGUG